rnacentral:rRNA from 1 species
AUUGAACGCUGGCGGCAGGCUUAACACAUGCAAGUCGAGGGGAGCGAGGGUGCUUGCACCUUAGCUUAGCGGCGGACGGGUGAGUAAUGCUUAGGAAUCUGCCUAUUAGUGGGGGACAACAUUCCUAAAGGGAUGCUAAUACCGCACACGACCUACGGGGGAAAGCAGGGGAUCUUCGGACCUUGCGCUAAUAGAUGAGCCUAAGUCGGUUUAGCUAGUUGGUGGGGUGAAGGCCUACCAAGGCGACGAUCUGUAGCGGGUCUGAGAGGACGAGCCGCCAAACUGGGACUGAGACACGGGCCAGACUCCUACGGGAGGCAGCAGGUGGGAAUAUUGGACAAUGGAGGGCACCCUGGUCCAGCCAUGCCUCGUGUGUGAAGAAGGCCUUUUGGUUGUAAAGCCCGUUAAGCGAGGAGGAGGCGCUCUAGGAUAAUACCCUAGAUGCGUGGACGUUACUCGCAGAAUAAGCACCGGAUAACUCUGUGCCAGCCGCCGCCGUAACAC